rnacentral:tRNA from 1 species
GUUCCUGUAGUUAAAGUCAUAUAACAGCAGUUCUUCAGACUGUAGAUCUCAGAGAGAGGCUGGGCGGGAAUU